rnacentral:rRNA from 1 species
AAACACAAACCAAACAACGACGCUGGCGGCAUGCCAAUACUGCAAGUCGAGACGAGAUCUUCGGAUCUAGUGGCGCACGGGUGCGUACGCUGGGAAUCUGCCCUUGGGUUCGGAAUAACUUCUGGAAACGGAAGCUAAUACCGGAUGAUGACGUAGGUCCAAAGAUUUAUCGCCCAAGGAUGAGCCCGCGUAGGAUUAGGUAGUUGGUGAGGUAAAGGCUCACCAAGCCGACGAUCCUUAGCUGGUCUGAGAGGAUGAUCAGCCACACUGGGACUGAGACACGGCCCAGACUCCUACGGGAGGCAGCAGUAGGGAAUAUUGGACAAUGGGCGAAAGCCUGAUCCAGCAAUGCCGCGUGAGUGAUGAAGGCCUUAGGGUUGUAAAGCUCUUUUACCCGGGAUGAUAAUGACAGUACCGGGAGAAUAAGCUCCGGCUAACUCCGUGCCAGCAGCCGCGGUAAUACGGAGGGAGUUAGCGUUGUUCGGAAUUACUGGGCGUAAAGCGCACGUAGGCGGCUAUUCAAGUCAGAGGUGAAAGCCCGGGGCUCAAACCCGGAACUGCCUUUGACACUAGAUAGCUUGAAUCCAGGAAAGGUGAGUGGAAUUCCGAGUGUAAAGGUGAAAUUCGUAGAUAUACGGAAGAACACCAGUGGCGAAAGCGGCUCACUGGACUUGGUAUUGACGCCCCGC